rnacentral:rRNA from 1 species
GGUUGAUCCUGCCAGUAGCAUACGCUUGUCUCAAAGAUUAAGCCAUGCAUGUCUAAGUAUAAACAAGUCUAUACUGUGAAACUGCGAAUGGCUCAUUAAAUCAGUUAUAAUUUAUUUGAUAAUCUCUUUUCUACUUGGAUAACCGUGGAAAAUCUAGAGCUAAUACAUGCAAAAAACCCGACUUCCGGAAGGGUUGUAUUUAUUAGAUAAAAACCAAUGCCCUCGGGCUCUUGGUGAUUCAUAAUAACUUUGCGAAUCGUAUGGCCUUGCGCCGACGAUGUUUCAUUCAAAUU